GCAAAUUGAGACGAUAGUCGAUGUAGCUCGCUAAGUGCCCGGAGCAAUGUGGAUUGGUUACGCAACUCGUGCGCUGCCGCGUGAAGAGUGAAGUUCAAUGUCACACAUACGCACACAAGCAUCCCGCCUUUGCGAAUAAAAUAUAUAUAAGAUGAUAUAAAACUCGCGCUGGUGUGCGUUGUGAUAUCUGAAUAAUCGCAGCCAACCCGUUACUCGCCUCUAUCAGCACUUCCCGGAAUAAUUCGCGAAAACGUUAUUUUGCUUUGUGCCCACAAGUAGGUAACUGAGACGUCAAUCGUAUUUUUGCGCAAGGUCAUGGAUUAUGUGGGUGGCGCGGAGGCUGUUGGCCCACCCCGGGUUGGAGCAGGCAGUGGUGUGAGCGGAGUGCAGGCGGGCGAUGCACCGUCCGCAGGAGUCAAGUGCACGGCCGGGCCGCGCCGCCGCGCACUGCGCGAUGCACCGCCCCCGGCGACAUGCGCUCCGCUGUCGGUCAAUAGCCACUAUCAAAUACCAUUCCGGUACAAGUUGCACAAUAGCGGAUUAAAUUGCAUGAUUCGAUAUUGUUUUAACCUUUCGUCACUAUUUCUUUUAAGUUUAAAUCAAUAGAAGUAAUAAAGUUU